UACGUAGGUGGCGAGCGUUGUCCGGAUUUAUUGGGUUUAAAGGGUGCGUAGGCGGCCCUGUAAGUCAGUGGUGAAAUAUCGCAGCUCAACUGUGAGGGUGCCAUUGAUACUGCAGGGCUUGAGUGAAUUUGAGGUAGGCGGAAUUGACGGUGUAGCGGUGAAAUGCUUAGAUAUCGUCAAGAACACCGAUAGUGAAGACAGCUUACCAAGCUUCAACUGACGCUGAUGCACGAAAGUGUGGGGAUCAAACAGG
rnacentral:rRNA from 1 species